GAUGAACGCUGGCGGCGUGCCUAAUACAUGCAAGUCGAGCGAACAGACGAGGAGCUUGCCCCUCUGACGUUAGCGGCGGACGGGUGAGUAGCACGUGCAUACCUUAUCUAUAAGACUGGGAUACGUUCGGGAAACCGAUGCUACUACCGGUAAUUAUUUUCAACCUCUGGUUUUAAUAACUAAGGUGGGUAUUGCUGUGCCUUCUCGAUAGAUCCGCGCCGCAUUAGUUACUUCGCAAGGUAACGGCUAACCAAGGCAACGAUGCGUAGCUGACCGGAGAGGGUGAUCGGACACACUGGAACUGAGACGCGGUCCAGACUCGUACGGGAGGCAGCAGUAGGGAAUCUUCCGCAAGGGGCGAAGUCUUGACGGAGCAACGCCGCGUGAGGGAUGAAGGUCUUCGGAUCGUAGAACUCUGUUAUUAGUGAAGAACAAAUGUGUAAGUAACGAGGCACGUCUUGACGGUACCUAAUCAGAAAGCCACGGCUAACUACGUG
rnacentral:rRNA from 1 species